UUUGAGUUUCUUGGAGGAGAGGUCAGGAGAAGGCCCGACUUCGUCCCGGCUCUCCUGCUUUUCCUUUAAAAACCUCCUCUUGGGGCCUUCUGACUCCACAUCAACGAGAAGGAACAAGGAGGCAAAGUAGUAGAGUAGAUAGCAGCAGAUCAGAUGGCUUUUGUGAAGUACUGCUUCUCCUUCCUGGUAGGAGCCACCUGUGGAGCUCUCGUCGCCCGGAACUUUGAAUGCCCCAAAGAGAGGAUUGCCAAAAGGAUGAUGCUGAUGGCAAAGCACCAUGACGAGGCAAGCCGCAGGCCAAAAGAAGCACAGAAUCCAGCACAGUAGAAAGCAUCGCAUGUCUCCUUGUGUCGUAUACAACUAUACACCUUUUUUUCUUAUUUUACGUCUUCUCUUGUUGUGAGAGUUUUGUAUUGGUGUCAGUGGAGUUUGCAACAAAUGGUCAGUUUAUAUUGGUUGAGGAGAUUGUUCUAAAUGAAGUUUUCCAUUUGAUGAGUACUUGUAGGGAAUUUGGAAUCAGUGUUGCUUGGUAUAUUUGAUCUUUGGUGAUGUUCUUUGGAACAUUUGUCAUAAUGUUGCUCAUAGGGAAAGUGUGAGAAUUAAGAAUGAUGAAGGGAAAAAGAAAGGCAUCCAGAUCAAAACCCCUGUUGCUGGUUAAGAAAGUAACUGACAUUUUUUUUUUCCUUGGAAGGGAAUAGAUUAAAACCUCUUCAAUCAGCCUCAGGAACAGCAGAAAACAUGACAUCGGAAAAAUAAAUAGUAAAGGAAUUAAAGAAACUUGAAAAUCAAAUUCUUGAAGAAAACAAAAAUUGGAAAAGCCAAGCAAGUGAAGAGGAAGAGGAGGCUCAGAUUCACCAUAUUAUGACCCUUUUAAUUUCUGAACUAUAUUUCAAAAAAAUCUUUGUAAUUUGAAAGACACUCCUUAAUAUUUAAAAUCAGGAUUUUGGACAUGAUCAUUCAAGAAGCACAGUGACUAUUUUUGCAACACUUUGACGACAAAAUAGAAUAAUAUUUUUAUCACUGCCAAUCAAUUUUGAAAGAUCAUGGCUGGUAUAAUGAGCUCAGAUUCAAUUUGUCAUUGUAGAUAAGAAUAAAAAAUAAAAAAAUAUAGUGUUAAGAUCUUUGCUGAUUUUAGAAGUGAAAUUUUUCAAAAAAAUGAUUAGAAAGAAUUGAAACAUUAAUAUCUAUUAAGUGUGACUUGAAUAUUGGUGUGAUCUGGUUUAUCAUCCGAUCCAACCAUUUUGAAGAGGUGAUCUGAGUGGAUUUUCCAUGAGACCUAUGGUAAUAGUGGAGGGCUUAGCCCAUUUAGAUAUUUUGAUUUUUUUAUUAUUUUAGAGUUUAAUGGUCACAUAUUGUAACUAUGUAGUUUGUCAUUUGAGCAGCUUUUGAUAUAGUGAAAUCUCUCCAUAUCUUCGUUUGCGAACGUAAGCCAAAGAUCGAACUAUAUAAAUCGUUGUAUUUUAUUUUCUAUAUUGUUAUUUUUUUAAUUUAAAUUUUAUAUUAAUUAAUAAAAAAUUUUACUAUAAUAUCUAUAAUAUUAAAAGAUUAUUUUUCAUCUUACAAUUAUUAAUUUAAAGAAAAUAAUUUAAAAUAAAAAAUAAGGAGGAGUUCAGAUUGAUAUCAUUAUCAUAUAAACCCGGUUGACCAGGUCAUUCCUGUGAUCUUUGCUAAGUGACUUGAAGCAGACGUUAGUGAAGUUGUCAAAGGAAGAAUGAUGGGCUCGAAAUAAAAUAAUAUUAUAUUUUAUGAAGGUACUCAAAAGUUCAAAAUGCUUAUUGUUUCAUUACAAAAUGACCCCAUGGGUAUUUAUAGCCAUUAGGGGAACUUACUAGACAUAAUACAUCACUAAAUAUGUAUUUAUAACACUUCUUCCCAAGGGUCACAUCCAUAUUUCAAGAUUAACUCAUAAUUACUCAUGCAUCUUAUAGAUAAUGAAAGUUUCUAUAUGACUCUUUGGCUCCUAAGACUCUUAGACUCCCAACAUUAAUGAUAUUACAUUUAAGUUUAUUUACUAACACCCUCCCUUAAACUUAAUUGUAUUCCAUCCUUCAUGCCAAGUAAGUUCUUGAGCUUGUGAAAAAGAUUUGCUGCAAGUGGCUUGGUGAAGAUAUCAGCAACUUGAUCAUAAGUUUUUGCAUAAGCUAACUCCAUAUUUUUCUCUUUUAUAUGCUCCUUUAUGAAAUGAAAACGGAUGUCGAUAUGCUUACUCUUUUCAUGAUAGACCGGAUUCUAUGCUAAUGCCAUUGCCGACUUGCUAUCCACAUAUAUCUUAGUAUUACCUUGAGAGAAAUAGAUAUCUUGUAAUAAUCUUCUAAGCCAUAUAGCAUGGCAAAUACAUGAAGAUACUGCAACAUAUUCAGCCUCACAAAUAGAAAGAGUCACAAUAGUUUGCUUCUUAGAAAGCCAAGUAAAUACCGUAUCACCCAUAUAGAAAAUAAAUCCGAUUGUACUCUUUCUAUCAUCCGAAUCUCCUCCCCAAUCACUAUCCGAAUAACCAAAAAGUCAAAAAUCAUAAGAAGGAGAAUACAUUAAUCCAUGAGAUAUAGUACCUCGGAUAUAAUGAAGAAUUCUUUUUGCGGCCUUCCAAUGUGUAGAUUUUGGUUCCUCCAUGAAAUGACUUAAUAAGCCAACUCCAUAUAGAAUGUCCGAUCUUGUGCAUGUGAGAUAUCUUAAGCUUCCAACUAAGCUUUUAUAAAGAGUAGGAUCCAUCACUUUACCUUCUUCAAAUUUUGAUAGUUUCACUCCAUAAUCAACAGGGAUGCUUAUUGGUUUGUAAUUUUCCAUCUUAAACCUCUUAAGAAUCUCCUUUGCAUAUGCUUCUUGAGAAAUGAAGAUGCCUUCAUUGUUUUGCUUAACCUCUAAGCUGAGAAAAUAUGAUAUAAGCUCCAAAUCUGUCAUCUCAAACUCUAAGAUCAUAGUUUGCUUGAAUUCUUCAAACAUUUGAGGGUUGCUUCCUGUAAAAAUAAGAUCAUCCACAUACAAAGAAACAAACAAUAUAUCUUCAUUCUUCUUCUUCACAUAUAAGGCAUGCUCAUAUGGACAUUGUAUGAAGUCAUUAGCUUUGAAGUAUGUAUCAAUUCUACUAUUCCAUGCUUUAGGUGCUUGUUUCAAGCCAUAGAGUGCCUUCUUCAACUUUAAAACUUUUUCUUCAUGACCCUUCUUCACAUACCCUUCGGGUUGAUUUACAUAAACUUCUUCUUCUAAAAUUCCAUUCAAUAAAGUUGAUUUGACAUCCAUUUGAAGAAUUGGCCAUUUGAAUUAUGCUGCAAUAGAGAUAAGUAAUUUUACAGUUUCUAUGUGAGUAACUGGGGUGAACACUUCUUCAUAGUCGAUACCGGCUUGUUGCUUGUAGCCUUUGGCUACCAAUCUUGCUUUGUACUUCUCUAUAUGUCCUUGAGCAUUCUUCUUCUUCUUGUAAACCCAUUUAACAUCUAUGGAUUUAUGGCCUUCAGGGAGAGUAGUAAGUUUUCAAGUAUCAUUUUUCUCUAUUGCUUUGAUCUCCUCAUCCAUUGCGACUUUUCAAAUCUUAUCUUGUAUUGCAUCUUCAAAAAAAAUAUUUUCAUUGUUAGCCAAAAGAUAAACGAGAUUAAGUUCGUUUGUUACCUCAUAGAGCUCUUGCAAACUCCUUGUCUUCUUUUGCAUUGGACUAUCAUCCAAAAGAGGUGAUACUCUAGAAUGUGAAGAUGAAAGUGGUGAAGAAACUUCAAAAUGCACCUUUGAUUCUUUCUCUUCUUCUUCCUUCUUUUCAUAAAAUAGCUCUUUGUUUGAUUGCCAACUCCACAUGCCAUCUUCAUGAAACUCCACAUCUCUACUAAUAUGAAUAUUUUUAGUUUUUGGAUCAAAGAGCUUAUAAGCUUUAGAUCGAGCAUCAUACCCGAUAAAGAUAAAUUUUUUACUCUUAUCUUCAAGCUUCAUUCUUCUUUGGUCUGGGGUAUGAGCAUAGGUGAUACUCCCGAAAAUCUUCAAGUGUGAGAUACUAGGUUAUCUUCCACUCCACGCCUCUUGUGGAGUUAUGUCCUCUAGGCUCUUGGUAGGACAUCGAUUGAGCAAGUAGACCGCAUAACUUAUGGCCUCCGUCCAAAAUUCCUUCGGCAUGACCUUCGUCUUUAGCAUACUUCGAACCAUAUCAAGAAUAGUUUGAUUCUUUCGCUCCACCACUCCAUUUUGUUGGGGGGAAUAGGGUGCCGUCAAGAAUCGUCGAAUGACAUACUCCUCAUAAAAAUAUUCAAAUUCUUUGGAUGUGAAUUUGCCUCCACGAUCGGAUCGUAGGGCCUUGAUGUAGUAGCCACAUUCUUUUUCCACCAUAGCUUUAUACUCUUGAAUGUGGAAAAUGCUUCAGACUUCUCCUUCAAAAAAUAAAGCCAAGUUUUCCUGCUAAAAUCAUCAAUAAAAGUUAAAAAAUAACGAUACUCUCCAAAAGAUGUUGGAGAAAUUGACCCACAUAUAUCGGUGUGGAUGAGUUCAAGUUGCUUCUUUGCAUGAUAGAAAGCUUCUUUGAAAAAACUCUUUCUUGAUUGCUUACUAAGAACGCAUCCUUCAUAAAAUUAUUCUGGAGAGUCAAUAUGUGGUAAGCCUUUCACCAUCUUCUUGCUUGAUAGUUGCUUAAGACCACCAAAGUGAAGAUGACCAAAUCUUAAGUGCCAAAGCCAUGAGCAAUCCUUCACACUUGCAUUCAAACAUUUAGUAUCAACAUGUUUGAUGUUAAGCAUGAACAUUCUAUUUUUUGUCAUUUGAACAUAGGCUAUCAAAUCAUUCUUUUGAUUUCUCAAACAUAGAUUUUUAUUUUUCAUAUGCACAUCAUAUCCUUUCUCCAAAAGCUGUCCCAAACUCAAAAUAUUAUUCUUCAUCUCCGGUAUGUAAUAAACAUUAGAGAUAAAUUUAUGACUUCCAUCUUUUAAUUGAAUAAAGAUUUUAUCUUUGCCCUUCACGUCUACUUGGUGGAGUCACCAAAAGACACAUGUCCAUUGACUGAUUCGUCCAACUCCGUGAACAUAUUCUUAUAACCACACAUGUGAUUAUUUGCACCGGUAUCCAAGAACCACAUAUUUUGCUCACCAGUGUCAUUUUCUUUGCAAGCAAGCAAUAAGAUUUUAUCAUCAUCUUCUUCUUUCUUUUUUGCAUAAUGAGCCUUCUCUUCAACUUGGUUAGCAUCAUUAUACUAACAAUCUGAAGCAUAAUGACCAAGUUUGUUACAAUUAAAACAACGAACUUUGGAAUUGUCAUACCUUCUACUUCUAGAUGAGCCUCCUUGUCCACGUCCUCCUUUUGAAUUUUGGCUUAACUCCUCUUUGUUAUUGUAGCAUCCACGUCCUCGAUCGCGUCCACGGCCUCUCCAUUGGCCACGACCUCGUUCUCGGCCUCUUUGACUCCUUUCAUUCUUGGAGUCUUCUUUGUUCUUCUUCAAAGAAACUUUGGAUUGAAGAACUUGCUCCAAGGGCUCUUGCCUCCUCUUGUUGAAUCUUUCUUCAUGAGCUUGUAGAGAACCCAUAAGCUCGUCUAUAGUCAUCUCUUCCAAGUCUUUUGAUUCCUCGAUGGCAACCACAAUAUAGUCAAAUUUGACAUCCAAUGAGCGUAGAAUUUUUUCUAUCACUUUGGUGUCAUCCAUAGUUUUGUCGUUCCUCCUCAAUUGAUUGACAACGGCUAAAACUCUUGUGAAAUAAUCCAAAACACAUUCAGAUUUCUUCAUCUGUAGGGCUUCAAAUUUGCCUUGAAGAGUUUGGAGGCGAACUUUCUUCACCUUCUCUACUCCUUUAUAUGAAUUUUGGAGAAUCUCCCAUGUUUGCUUUGAAGUGGUUGCCGCCGCGAUCUUCUCAAAGGCUGAUUCAUCUAUAGAUUGAUAGAUGAAAUAUAGGACUUUCUUAUCCCUCCUUCGAGACUCCCUUUGUUGAUUGGUGAGAGCCUCUCCUUCUCUUGACUUUUGAUAGCCUUCUUCUACUAGAUCCUAAAGAUCUUGAGACUCAAGUAGAGCCUUCAUUUGCAGGCACCAAUUUUCAUAGUUUGUUUUGGUGAGACGAGAAAAUGAGGGUUGGAGGAGACUAUUGGUGGACAUUAUAGCUCUGAUACCACUUUGAAGUUGUCAAAAGAAGAAUGAUGAGCUCGAAAUAAAAUAAUAUUAUAUUUUAUGAAGGUACUCAAAGGCUCAAAAUGCUCAUUGUUUCAUUACAAAAUGACCCCAUGAGUAUUUAUAGCCAUUAGAGAAAUUUACUAGACAUAAUACAUUACUAAAUAUGCAUUUAUAACACUUCUUCUCAAGGGUCACAUCCAUAUUCCGAGAUUAACUCAUAAUUACUCAUGCAUCUUCUAGAUAAUGAAAGUUUCUAUAUGACUCUUUGGCUCCCAAGACUCUUAGACUCCCAACAUUAAUGAUAUUACAUUUAAGUUUAUUUACUAACACCCUCUCUUAAACUUAAUUGUAUUCCAUCCUUCAUGCCAAGUAAGUUCUUAAGCUUGUGAAAAAGAUUUGCUGCAAGUGGCUUGGUGCAGAUAUCGGCAACUUGAUCAUAAGUCUUUGCAUAAGCUAACUCCACAUUCUUCUUUUUUAUAUGCUCCCUUAUGAAAUGAGAACGGAUGUCGAUAUGCUUACUCCUUUCAUGAUAGAUCGGAUUCUUUGCUAAUGCCAUUACCGACUUGCUAUCCACAUAUAUCUUAGUAGCAUUACCUUGAGAGAAAUAGAUAUCUUGUAAUAAUCUUCUAAGCCAUAUAGCAAGGCAAAUACAUGAAGAUACUGCAACAUAUUCCGCCUCACAAGUAGAAAGAGUCACAAUAGCUUGCUUCUUAGAAAGCCAAGUGAAUGCCGUAUCACUCAUAUAGAAAAUAAAUUCGAUUGUACUCUUUCUAUCAUCUGAAUCUCCUCUCCAAUCUCUAUCCGAAUAACCAAAAAGUUGAAAAUCAUAAGAAGGAGAAUAUAUUAAUCCAUGAGAUAUAGUACCUCGGAUGUAACGAAGAAUUCUUUUUGCGGCCUUCCAAUGUGUAGAUUUUGGUUCCUUCAUGAAACGACUUAAUAAGCCAACUCCAUAUAGAAUGUCCGAUCUUGUGCAUGUGAGAUAUCUUAAGCUUCCAACUAAGCUUUUAUAAAGAGUAGGAUCCAUCACUUUACCUUCUUCAAAUUUUGAUAGUUUGACUCCAUAAUCAACAGGGUGCUUAUUGGCUUACAAUUUUUCAUCUUAAACCUCUUAAGAAUCUCCUUUGCAUAUGCUUCUUGAGAAAUGAAGAUGUCUUCAUUGUUUUGCUUGACCUCUAAGCCGAGAAAAUAUGAUAUAAAUCCCAAAUCUGUCAUCUCAAACUCUAAGGUCAUAAUUUGCUUGAAUUCUUCAAACAUUUGAGGGUUGCUUCCUAUAAAAAUAAGAUCAUCCACAUACAAAGAAACAAACAAUAUAUCUUCAUUCUUCUUCUUCACAUAUAAGGCAUGCUCAUAUGGACAUUGCAUGAAGUCAUUAGCUUUGAAGUAUACAUCAAUUCUACUAUUCCAUGCUCUAGGUGCUUGUUUCAAGCCAUAGAGUGCCUUCUUCAACUUUAAAAUUUUUUCUUCAUGAUCCUUUUUCACAUAUCCUUCGGGUUGAUUCACAUAAACUUCUUCUUCUAAAAUUCUAUUCGAAAAAGCUGAUUUGAUAUCCAUUUGAAGUAUUGGCCAUUUGAAUUGUGCUGCAAUAGAGAUAAGUAAUCUUACAGUUUCCAUGCGAGUAACUGGGGCGAACACUUUUUCAUAGUCAAUACCGACUUGUUGCUUGUAGCCUUUGGCUGCCAAUCUUACUUUGUACUUAUCUAUAUGUCCUUGAGCAUUCUUCUUCUUCUUGUAAACCCAUUUAACAUCUAUGGAUUUAUGGCCUUCAGAGAGAGUAGUAAGUUCCCAAGUAUCAUUUUUCUCUAUUGCUCCAAACAGUCUCUCUUUUUCUAUCGGCUCAUUUAUAUACCUUCUUGGUGCUAUGAUACCAUCCACUGUAUCUUUGUUAGACUCUGUCUUCUAUCUUAACAUUCUGGUGCUCUGGUUUGUAUUUCUUUGUUCUUUCCACUGCCUUUUGGACCAUCUGGUACUCUGCACUUCAUAUCCUUUACCAGAGGAAAAAAAAAAGAAAAAAAAGGAUUAGAAAGAAUCGAAAAUAUUGAUAUCUAUAUGAUAGUAUAAGGUUAUCUUUCAUCUUACCUCCGUUAAUUUAAAAAUUUAUUAAUAAAAAAUGAUUUAAAAUAAAAAAUAAUAAAAGAUUCAGAUUUAUAUCAUUGUCGAAUGAGCAAGGGCCAAAAUAUAGGUCAUGUCAUGUAAACCGCGUUGACCAAGUCCUCCACGUAAUCUUUCAGCUAGAUGACUUGGAGCAGACGUUUGCUUCUUCUUUUUUUUUUCCUCAGAAAAGAGAAGCAGACGUUAGUUUGACUUGGAGUUUCUUGGAGGAGGGGUCAAGAGAAGGCUACUUGGAUCCCGUCUCUCCUGUGUCCUCUAAAAAGACCUUCUCUUGGGGUAUUCUGACUCCACAUCAACGAGAAGGAACAAGAAGGCAAAGGAGUAGAGUAGAUAGCAGCAGUUCGGAUGGCUUUUGUGAAGUACUGCUUCUCCUUCCUGGUAGGAGCCACCUGUGGAGCUCUCUUCGCCCGGAACUUUGAAUGCCCCAAAGAGAGGCUCGCCAAAAGGAUGAUGCUGAUGGCAAAGCACCAUGACGAGGUUUCCCGCAAGCUAAAAGAAGCACAGAAUCCAGCACAGUAGAAGCAUUGCAUGUCUCCUCGUGUUGCAUACAACUACAUACCUUUUUUCUUUUUUUUUUAUGAUUGUAUCUCUUCCCUUGUUGUGAGAGUUUUGUGUUGGUGUAAGUGGAGCUUGUAACAAAUGGGGCCUGAGGUUGUAUUGGUCGAGGAGAUCGUUCUAAAUAAAGUUUUCCCUUUGAUGAGUACUUGUAGGGAAUUUGGAAUGACUGUUGCUUGGUUUAUUUGUUCUUUGGUAGCUCAUAAUGUUGCUUUUCAAGGGGAAGUGUGAAAAUUAAGAAUGAUAGGAAAAAAGGCAUCCAGA
rnacentral:lncRNA from 1 species